CUCAAAACUUUGACAGAAAAGAGAAAUACAUUAAUUCUAUUUCUAAACUAAUUAAUAUCAUGUGUAGAACAUUAAAUAUGCAUCAUUUUGGAGAGAAAGGAAUCAAUAACUUAGAAAUUAGGAUUGAUUGGUCCCCUAUAUGCAAGUUAUUGAUUCCUUUCUCUCUCUUUCUCCUCCUUCCUUUUUUUCUCACAAAGUUUUGAUUGCCAGUCGAAAAAGUGAAGGAGUAGGGACAUCUACGAUAAUGAGAGAGACUAGCUACAAUUGAAUGUUGUAGCAAAGAAUGAAAGAUGUGACCAAAACAAGUGCAAAUUGCACAAGUGAAAGAGGGUAGCUUCUUGUUGAAUCUCCUGUUGCCAAACUUGCCAGCCAUGAACUUGCUAAUUCUGCCUCCUGUAUUGCCCCUGACGCCAUCGACCCUCCUCCUUCUGUCCCUGUUGCCAUUGGAGACAGAUCUCUUGCAGAUUUCAGACUGGGCAAGUGAGGGCAAAAUGUGACUGUGUAAUCAGCACCAGUACACGUGAAAGUACUGGAAGCAUCAUCAAAAGCGUAGCUGUAUGAUUUCGGACACGCGUUCUUGAACAUUUCUGAGUACGUCGAAGGUUUACAAGUUGAAGGUGUAUUAUACGCGCCACUGCAACAGUACUCUGGGUUCCCAAACGCAUCACAAGCGCUCCGGCAUGCUGCGCCGCCCUCAACUUUCAGUUCAUUCGGACACUUCCUGUUAAGGUCCGUCACGCAACCCGUCGUCGCACAAGCACCUGAGCCGCCAUUCACCUCAACUACCAUUGGCAAAUUAUAGCCGUCGACCAGGCUGACGUCGUAGAAAUCUUGUGUGCCGGUGCCGAGGGUGAAUUCAGCUAAGGUGGCAGGCGGAGUAGCACUGUUGCCGUUGCAUUCGAUUUGGGAAGAGCCGCAGUCGGCAGUAGCGCAGGAGCCGUGGCCCGAAGCAUCAAAAUUGCAGCCAGUUCGUCCCCAGAAACGACCGGACCAACCUGUCGGGGCCUGAAAAGAGCGAGAGCAGCCCUUGGGGAGCUCAAAACCUGUAGUGUCUAGUUUAGGGCUUCCAAGAAUUCCAGGCCAUACACUGUAAUCGCAUUUGUUAACAAGUGUGAAUACAGCACCUGAAGCACCUUCGAAAAUGAAGAGAAUAAUCAGGCUGAGGAAUACAGUGUAAGAACAAGAAGUACAGGAGAAUAAUGAAGCCAUGUUCUUGUUAUUGUUCAAGAAGUUUAAGAAAUCUAUUUCUUUUUUGGGUUAGCGCAAGAAUAAG
rnacentral:misc_RNA from 1 species